CGUUCGUGCUUGCUGAACUCUUCCUCUUCCCCGUCCCGGUCGGCCAAGCUGACAACAUGGACUUUGAAUGAACUCCGAGAUCCCACGUAUCAAGAAGAAAGAAGACAACCUGCUGGAUGUCCACAAUUCUUCUUCUUCAUUAGAAGUCAAGGAAGGCAUCGCACCGCUAUGACAUCACCAUUUUAUGUAGCUGAUGCAUCUAUUGCUAUCCGGCCGAGACGGCCCUACCAGUUGAGUUUGAUGCUCUGAACCUGUAGACAGGUGAUGCUGCAGUGAGCCGGGUGUGAAUCAUCUUCAUUUCUCUGAAAACGGG